rnacentral:rRNA from 1 species
AUUGAACGCUGGCGGCAUGCUUUACACAUGCAAGUCGAACGGCAGCGCGGGCUUUGGCCUGGCGGCGAGUGGCGAACGGGUGAGUAAUGCAUCGGAACGUGCCCAGUAGUGGGGGAUAGCCCGGCGAAAGCCGGAUUAAUACCGCAUACGACCUGAGGGUGAAAGCGGGGGACCGAAAGGCCUCGCGCUAUUGGAGCGGCCGAUGUCGGAUUAGCUAGUUGGUGGGGUAAAGGCUUACCAAGGCGACGAUCCGUAGCUGGUCUGAGAGGACGACCAGCCACACUGGGACUGAGACACGGCCCAGACUCCUACGGGAGGCAGCAGUGGGGAAUUUUGGACAAUGGGGGCAACCCUGAUCCAGCCAUGCCGCGUGCGGGAAGAAGGCCUUCGGGUUGUAAAGCGCUUUUGUUCGGGAAGAAAUCCUCUGGGCUAAUACCCCGGGGGGAUGACGGUACCGGAAGAAUAAGCACCGGCUAACUACGUG